CCGCCCUUAGCUCAGCUGGAUAGAGCGUCCCCCUCCUAAGGGGAAGGCCCCAGGUUCGAAUCCUGGAGGGCGGGCCA
rnacentral:tRNA from 1 species